ensembl:lncRNA
CCCUAACCCUGCAAGAACAAUAAGUCAUCCUCAAGUACCGCUAUUUCUGCACUAUCCAUGACCCUUACGAAAAGAAGCACCCUAACCCUAACAAUCAUACCCACACUCCAAACGUCAGGUACAUGAAUUGGAACCCUAAACCUCAACCUCCUCCUAACCCUAACCCUAACCCUAAGGCGCAGGACCAAAUCACAAUCCCCAGGUGCUUGACAUGUGACAUUAUCCCUCCCCCUCCCCACCAACUUACGCUAAUACUAACUUUCCAACCCACACUGGAAGACACAGGCAUUUCAAUUUCAAUGCUAUCUAUCACCCUGACCCUAACCCUAACCCUAGCCCUAACCCUGCCAGAACAAUAAGUCAUCCUCAAGUACCGCUAUUUCUGCACUAUCCAUGACCCUUACGAAAAGAAGCACCCUAACCCUAACAAUCAUACCCACACUCCAAACGUCAGGUACAUGAAUUGGAACCCUAAACCUCAACCUGCUCCUAACCCUAACCCUAACCCUAAGGCGCAGGACCAAAUCCCAAUAACCACGUACUUGAUAUUUUAUAUCAUCCCUCAGGCUCUCCACGAACUUACACUAAUACUAACUUUCCACCCACCCUGAAAGACACAGGCAGUUCAGUUUCAAUCCUAUCUGUCACCCUUACCCCUAACCUAACCCUAGCCCUAACCCUAGCCGAACCCUAAGUCAUUUUCAGGUACUUCUAUUUCCGAACUAUUCAUGACCAUAACGAAAAGAAGAACCCUAACCCUAACAAUCAUACCCACACUCCAAACGUCAGGUACAUGAAUUGGAACCCUAUACCUAAACUUACUCCUAACCCUAACCCUGACCCUAAGCUGCAGGACCAAAGCACAGUACCCAGGUGCUUG